UGGGCUAGAAUGCAGUCUGACCGCGGGUGAAAGCUCGUUUUGUAGCAAUACACAGAUUGUAAGGUGCUGCAUGGCUGUCGUCAGCUCGUGCCGUGAGGUGUUGGGUUAAGUCCCGCAACGAGCGCAACCCCCAUCAUUAGUUGCCAUCAGGUAAAGCUGGGAACUCUAGUGAAACUGCCGUCGUAAGACGCGAGGAAGGAGGGGAUGAUGUCAAGUCAUCAUGGCCUUUAUGCCCAGGGCUACACACGUGCUACAAUGGGGAGGACAAAGGGCUGCCACUUGGCAACAAGGCGCUAAUCCCAAAAACCUCUUCUCAGUUCAGAUUGGAGUCUGCAACUCGACUCCAUGAAGCUGGAAUCGCUAGUAAUCGUAGAUCAGCAACGCUACGGUGAAUACGUUCCCGGACC
rnacentral:rRNA from 1 species